CCCAGAAGUAACUCCCGGUAUUCUGCAGAAGAUUUCACACAACAUUAAAUAAAUAGCAAGUGCCUUCCUUUAUCCAGCUGAUCGUUUUUAGGUUUAUUAGUCUGAAUCUACAGGGUAUAUACGUGGAAAUAUAGAUCAGUCAGUGAGAGGUCCCCCAGAAGAAGGCUUCAUAGCCGAAAUGUCUGGGUUUUCAUUUCUCCAGCUCUUGGUCAGUA